rnacentral:tRNA from 1 species
CGGGGUGUAGCGAAGCCUGGUAACGCGCCUGCCCUGGGAGCAGGAGAUCAUCGGUUCGAAUCCGGUCACCCCGACUA